UGGCCACCUGACUUGGAAGAGUUGAAGC
rnacentral:piRNA from 1 species